ACUAACAGAUGUAAAAGGCAUCAUUUCCAAGGUUCAAGGACCUCAUUUGGAUGAAAACCAAUAAAUGUAAAGAAAGCCAAUGAAGGCAACGGAGAACAAGAUGAGAAAAAGGGAGCAGAGUGACGCGAAAGAAGAAGGGGAAAUAAGGCCAACCUAAUUCCGGCAUGAUGGGGAGCAUUUUGUUGAUGCUAAAUGCUCUUGCGGACUCGGAGAGGAACAGGACUCGUACAAUCACAGUGUUGCUGGAAAAGU